UACAGGGGGGUGCUAGCGUUGUUCGGAAUUACUGGGCGUAAAGGGCGCGUAGGCGGUUUCGCAAGUCAGGGGUGAAAUCCCGGAGCUUAACUCCGGAAUUGCUUUUGAUACUGUGAGGCUAGAGUGAGUUAGAGGAUGGCGGAAUUCCUAGUGUAGUGGUGAAAUACGUAGAUAUUGGGAAGAACACCGGUGGCGAAGGCGGCGACCUGGUCCAUUACUGACGCUGAGGCGCGACAGCGUGGGGGAGCAAACAGG
rnacentral:rRNA from 1 species